UAAACCCUCACGCGCCCAUUCUCUCUCUCUCUCUCUCUCUCUCUCUCUCCAACAACCAAAACCUCUCCCGUUCUCUCUCCUCCCCUGUGACUCCAACGAGUUUCGAAGCACUGGCUAAGUCGAGCGGUCGGAUGAGAUUUGUAGCCAUUUUGCUCGCUGUAGUAGAUAAUGGCUUCGCGAGCAAUCUUGAGAAGAAAGAGAUACAUCUUAAAUUCACUAAAUCAGCCUUCUUGCUUGAUUUGGGGUUCCUCUAUUUUUGAGCGCGAGCAACCGUCGCAAUCUAGUGAAUUAAAAACGGCGAGCUUGUUUUCAAGCCAUCUACAUUCAACUACUGGUGAUAGAAGCGAUAAAGAUGCGACUUCAGCUCUCUGGAAUGAUCCUCUGGAUUUUAGAGUGGCAGAAAUUUUCAGGCGUUACUCCUUCACCAUAUCAACUUUGGGCAAUCGAGUUGGAAGGCAAGACUUUGUUUCUUCUCCGAGAGUUGUGUGGACUUCGCAAUCUAUACGCUAUACUUCCAUGGCAACAGCUGGUCAACCCAAAUUUGGGAGCGGUGAUCGUAGAAAUGAACAGCAGGUUUCAGGACAGAAAACGGAACCUUCACCCGAGGAAUGUGAUCAAGCAGUUGAAGGUUUGAGCACUGUAAAAGCGAAAGCAAAGGCCAAGCAGAUACAGGAAUCUCCAAAGAGUGAUAAAUCUGUAACGAUGAGAAUGUGGGCCAUGCUUUUGGGGAUUGGUCCUGCUCUAAAAGCUGUCGCUUCCAUGAGCAGGGAGGACUGGGCGAAGAAGCUUCAUCAUUGGAUGGACGAAUUUAAAUCAACAAUGCAGCAUUAUUGGUUGGGUACAAAACUCCUUUGGGCUGAUGUAAGGAUUAGCUCAAGAUUGCUGUUGAAGCUUGCUAGUGGCAAGAGUCUUUCUAGAAGGGAAUUGAAACAGCUCAUCCGAACUGCAGCCGAUAUUUUCAAACUAGUCCCACUUGCUAUUAUUGUUGGAGUUCCAUUCUUGGAAUUCUUGGUGCCAGUAAUCAUUACAUUUUUCCCCAACAUUUUGCCAUCCCAGUUCAAGUACAAGGUGCUAGAGCAGGAGGAGUUGAAAAGAAAGCUAAAUGCAAGACUACAGUAUGCAAGGUUCCUUCAGGAUACAGUAAAAGAAAUGGCAAAGGAAAUCCAAACCUCACGAAGUGGAGAAGUUAGAAAUACAGCAGAAGAUCUAGAUGAAUUUAUGAACAAGGUUAGAAAAGGCGAGCGCGUUUCUAAUGAUGAGAUUUUAGGCUUUGCCAAGUUUUUCAAUGAUGAACUUACUUUAGAUAACAUUAGCAGGCCACGGUUAAUGAAUAUGUGCAAAUAUAUGGGUAUUACCCCAUUGUCAUAUGUAACAGAUUCAUAUUUGCGUUAUGUGCUUCGUAGAAGACUGCAAAAGAUCAAGGAUGAUGAUAAGCUGAUUCAAGCUGAGGGACUGGAGUCCCUCUCAGAAGAAGAGCUUAUUGCAGCCUGUCGAGAACGGGGUAUACUUGGAUCACGCUCAGUGGAGGAAAUGCGGGAAGAGUUGCGUGAUUGGUUGGAUUUGUCUCUCAAUCAAUCUGUACCGUCAUCCCUCUUGAUACUUUCUAGAGCUUUCUCGGUGCGUGGCAAGGUGACGCCGGAGGAAGCUGUUCAAGCUACACUUUCCUCUCUACCAGAUGAGGUCGUGGAUACUGUUGGGGUGACUGCUUUGCCAUCUGAAGACCCUGUCGCAGAAAGAAGGAGAAAGUUGGAGGUCUUAGAAAUGCAGGAAGAGCUGAUCAAGGAGGAAGAGAAAGAGGAAGAAAAGCAGGCUAAGUUGAAGGAAUCUAUUAGUAAACAGCCGGAUGUGGCUCUGGAAGAGAUGACUAUUCCAACAGCUAGAGAAGCACAGGAACGGGCAAGAGCAAAAACAUUAGACAAGCAAGGACAGCUUUGUGAACUCAGUCGUGCAUUGGCUGUUUUGGCCUCGGCAUCUUCAGUCAGGCUGGAGCGUGAAGAGUUCUUGAAACUAGUUAGAAAGGAGAUAGAGCUUUAUAAUGAUAUGGUGGAUAAGGAGGGAACUGAAGGUGAAGAAGAAGCUAAAAAGGCAUACAAAGCUGCGAGGAAGGACAGUGACCACGCUGCCGGGAUGGCUCUGAGUGACAAGGCUUCUUCAGCACUUGCAGACAGGGUUGAUGCUAUGCUGCAAAAGCUAGAAAAGGAAAUUGAUGAUGUUGAUGCAAAAAUUGGGGAUCGCUGGCGGUUGCUUGACAGGGAUUAUGAUGGGAAGGUGACUCCUGAGGAGGUUGCAUCUGCCGCUAUCUAUCUUAAGGAUACAUUGGGGAAAGAGGGCAUAGACGAACUUAUCAACAACCUUUCGAAGGAUAGAGACGGAAAAAUACUAGUGGAAGAUAUUGUCAGAUUAGCCAGUUCAAAAGAAGAUGCUGAUUCUAUGGACGCAAGAUAAUUGUUAAGAGAUGAUGCCUAAGCCAAAGAGAAGAUGAUAAGAGGAAGCGAUUUGCAUAAUUUCGGUCAAGAUGGUGGCUGUUCAGGGCAUCUGUUAUAUUUUUAUUAAGAUCUCCAAGCUCCAGCACGAUGGCGGUGGCUCUUUGAGCUUCGGCGAAGAUGGCAGCGGUCGUGGUACCAGAUCGGCAAAGAGAGAGAGAGAGGACGGCUGGGUUGGGUCUGAGGUAGA